rnacentral:rRNA from 1 species
AUGGAAAAGGAAAAGGCUAAUUGGGAUGCACAUCACAUAACUAUCUUCUAUGAGAUAUGCAAGGACGAGGUCGAUGCUGGAAAUAGGCCAAAGGGAUGUUUGAACCGUAGAGGGUACACACAUCUUGAAGAUAAGUUCUUUGAUAGGACUCGAAAAAGAUGUUCGCAGAAUCAAUUUAAAAACAAACGGGACAUGUUGAAGAGACAAUAUGUACAAUUCAUGUUGUUGAAAAAUGCGGCAACUGGGCUAGGUUGGGAUGAUGUGAACAAAACCAUUAUAGCCGAUGAUGAUUGGUGGAAAAUACAUCUUAAGAAAAAUCCUAAGCAUGCAAAGUACAAGAAGAAGGGGCUGGCCAACUUGGAAGAAAUUCAUGUCAUGUUCGCCAACGCACAUGUCACCGGGGCUACAUCAUCUAUUCCUGGGGAGAUGUCAGACAACACAAAUGAUGAUGAUAUGCCUGAUGUUGGAGAAGAGUCUGAGGAGGAUGGAAAUGCAUUGAAGGAGGUCAAGGUUUCACCUAAGGAUGGAAAGGCGGCAAAGGAGGUCAAGGUCUCACCUAAGGAUGGAAAGGCGGCAAAAUAUCUGAAGCGCAAGGCCAAGUUUAUUGACGAGUCAGCUAAGGAGGACAAGAACCCUUUUCUACGUGAGUAG